rnacentral:rRNA from 1 species
UGGGGAAUCUUAGACAAUGGGCGAAAGCCUGAUCUAGCGAUGCCGCGUGAGUGACGAAGGCCCUAGGGUCGUAAAGCUCUUUCGCCAGGGAUGAUAAUGACAGUACCUGGUAAAGAAACCCCGGCUAACUCCGUGCCAGCAGCCGCGGUAAUACGGAGGGGGUUAGCGUUGUUCGGAAUUACUGGGCGUAAAGCGCGCGUAGGCGGACUAUUAAGUCAGGGGUGAAAUCCCGGGGCUCAACCCCGGAACUGCCUUUGAUACUGGUAGUCUAGAGUUCGAGAGAGGUGAGUGGAAUUCCAAGUGUAGAGGUGAAAUUCGUAGAUAUUUGGAGGAACACCAGUGGCGAAGGCGGCUCACUGGCUCGAUACUGACGCUGAGGUGCGAAAGUGUGGGGAGCAAACAGGAUUAGAUACCCCCGUAGUCC